rnacentral:rRNA from 1 species
UACGUAGGGUGCAGGCGUUAAUCGGAAUUACUGGACGUAAAGCGUGCGCAGGCGGUUUGCUAAGAGAGAUGUGAAAUCCCCGGGCUUAACCUGGGAACUGCGUUUCUAACUGGCAGGCUUGAGUGUGGCAGAGGGGGGUGGAAUUCCACGUGUAGCAGUGAAAUGCGUAGAGAUGUGGAGGAACACCGAUGGCGAAGGCAGCCCCCUGGGCUAACACUGACGCUCAUGCACGAAAGCGUGGGGAGCAAACAGG